UGCAGAUAGCUGCUGUCCCAUUGCCUUUCAUUUUCUCCCUCAAUUUGCUAACAAUUUUCAGCUGCUAGCAAACCUGUGCUGAUAAAGUCUCUUAACUCAGCUGUCCUUAUUUAUUCCCCUUCCUCCUUGUGGUCAGUGCCAGUAAUGUGGGACAUGGCAGUGGCUGAAGCUGGGAGCUUUGCGAUGCAGUGUGGUGUGAAAACCCACCCUCCUCUGCAGAUCCAAUCAAGGGAGUGACCUACUUCAGCACAGGCCCCCUUGGAAAUGCAUUCGCACCAUUUUCUCCUCUACUUAAGCUAUCAAAAUUGAGUGAUCAUCUUGCAUCAGCUCAGCUCAUCGCUAAAUGAAUGAAGAAGAUAUGGCAGAAGGGGGAGGGAGGGAAGUCACCUCUGGGUUAUCGGUGUCUGUACAGAAAAGCUGCUGCGGCUGUGAUUCUCGAUGUGGCCACUGUUGGGACACGCAGCUCCCAUCGGUGGCGUGACCUGCUCACCUCCUCCUCUGUCGUAACGGGGGGAAAGGUGCAGGGCAGGACUGUUUGUUUUCUCAAGGGACACUGCCCGAAAGAGGGGCAAGCUCCACGUUUAGGGUGGUCAGUUCUGCAACCAGUGACUAAUGGCCUGAUUUAGGGUGGGGGUACCCUGAAGCCCUUUGUGGAAAGGAAGGAGCCUCCGGUUGGAGCAACAAAGGUGUUAUUUUUGUUGAGCAAGCCUGUUAAACUACAACAUCAGGAGCACAGCCAGUCUUGGUGUCCCCUUCCUUCCCCCCCCCCCCCCAUUACUUAAUGCAUCCUGCCCUCCUCAGCAUCCCUCGUGGUAUGCUGAAAUCAUCUCAGACCAACCAUUUGUCACCGAAACCCAAAGGGCAGCCCCCCACCGUAUCUUCGUCAGCCUCUGGGGGAUAAUUAACCUUGGGUUUCUUUGACUACCCCCUGCUGAAUGUUAAUUAAAGCUUCCAGCAGCCGCUUUGCAAAGUCCCGUCUGCUCAAAGUGAGUCACUGGGACAUGGUUCAGUCCCUCCCCGGGAGAGCGAUGGGGCUGCUUGGUAUCACGCAGCUUGCUUUGAUCCGCCCCAGGGCAGGGGGACCAUGCUCCCCAGACAGUGUGGGUUGGGAAUAUUUUGGGAAGAAAUCCGCCGGCUCCAUUUGUUCAGGCUGGCUUUUGAAGAGAGGUCACGCAGUAGGCGAGCCAGGCGAUAUCUCGCUGGGGGGAUUUAGGAUCUGAUGGUGCCUAAACA